UAUAUAUUCUAGUUAAUUCAUCUCCCCUACAUAUUCCAUUUUAACUCCUCUUCGCCUGCAUCUGGUUCCAUCUGAACUGAGUCAUUCGAGAAACAUGGCCAGCAAAGCACCAAGUUGGGCUGAUCAGUGGGAUGAAAGUAGUAUCGAUGUUAUGGAAGAUGAUGGCGUUAGAUCCCAUAAAGACACCGGCAAUAACAAGAAUUGGGGUGCCAAGGGUGGGUUCACCAAAGUCAAAGCAGUUGCAAUGAUAGGACUACAAAAGAUUAAAAUUUAUGUAAAAUGGAUCAAAAACCAGUUCAAGAGAAAGAGGAGUUUCAAAUAAUUGUGAGGAUCCAACUCUACGGUGUUGUUUGGCAGGUGUAAUAGAACAUGAUAUACCAUUCCCUAUGUAUUAUUAUAAAUCGUUCUAGUUUUUCUUAAUAA